UUGUUUGGAGAGUUUGAUCCUGGCUCAGGACGAACGCUGGCGGCGUGCUUAACACAUGCAAGUCGAGCGGAAAGGCCCUUCGGGGUACUCGAGCGGCGAACGGGUGAGUAACACGUGAGU
rnacentral:rRNA from 1 species